rnacentral:rRNA from 1 species
AUUGCCCCAGUAACGGCGAGUGAAGCGGCAACAGCUCAAAUUUGAAAUCUGGCCCUCGGGUCCGAGUUGUAAUUUGUAGAGGAUGCUUUUGGUGCGGUGCCUUCCGAGUUCCCUGGAACGGGACGCCAUAGAGGGUGAGAGCCCCGUCUGGUUGGACGCCAAUCCUCUGUAAAGCUCCUUCGACGAGUCGAGUAGUUUGGGAAUGCUGCUCUAAAUGGGAGGUAUAUGUCUUCUAAAGCUAAAUACCGGCCAGAGACCGAUAGCGCACAAGUAGAGUGAUCGAAAGAUGAAAAGCACUUUGAAAAGAGAGUUAAAAAGUACGUGAAAUUGUUGAAAGGGAAGCGCUUGUGACCAGACUUGGGCUUGGUUGAUCAUCCUGGGUUCUCCCCGGUGCACUCCUCCAGUCCAGGCCAGCAUCAGUUCGCCGCGGGGGAUAAAGGCUUCGGGAAUGUGGCUCCCUCGGGAGUGUUAUAGCCCGUUGCGCAAUACCCUGCGGCGGACUGAGGUUCGCGCUCUGCAAGGAUGCUGGCGUAAUGGUCAUCAGCGACCCGUCUUGAAACACGGACCAAGGAGUCGUCUUCGUAUGCGAGUGUUCGGGUGUUAAACCCCUACGCGGAAUGAAAGUGAACGCAGGUGAGAGCUUCGGCGCAUCAUCGACCGAUCCUGAUGUUCUCGGAUGGAUUUGAGUAAGAGCAUACGGGGCCGGACCCGAAAGAAGGUGAACUAUGCCUGUAUAGGGUGAAGCCAGAGGAAACUCUGGUGGAGGCUCGCAGCGGUUCUGACGUGCAAAUCGAUCGUCAAAUAUGGGCAUGGGGGCGAAAGACUAAU